GGGCGCACGGUGGAUGCCUUGACACUAGGAGUCGAUGAAGGACGGGACUAACGCCGAUAUGCUUCGGGGAGCUGUAAGUAAGCUUUGAUCCGAAGAUUUCCGAAUGGGGAAACCCACCAUACGUAAUGGUAUGGUAUCCUUAUCUGAAUACAUAGGGUAAGGAAGACAGACCCAGGGAACUGAAACAUCUAAGUACCUGGAGGAAGAGAAAGCAAAUGCGAUUUCCUGAGUAGCGGCGAGCGAAACGGAACAUAGCCCAAACCAAGAGGCUUGCCUCUUGGGGUUGUAGGACAUUCUAUACGGAGUUACAAAGGAACGAGGUAGACGAAGCGACCUGGAAAGGUCCGUCGUAGAGGGUAACAACCCCGUAGUCGAAACUUCGUUCUCUCUUGAAUGUAUCCUGAGUACGGCGGAACACGUGAAAUUCCGUCGGAAUCUGGGAGGACCAUCUCCCAAGGCUAAAUACUCCCUAGUGAUCGAUAGUGAACCAGUACCGUGAGGGAAAGGUGAAAAGCACCCCGGAAGGGGAGUGAAAGAGAUCCUGAAACCGUGUGCCUACAAAUAGUCAGAGCCCGUUAAUGGGUGAUGGCGUGCCUUUUGUAGAAUGAACCGGCGAGUUACGAUCCCGUGCGAGGUUAAGCUGAAGAGGCGGAGCCGCAGCGAAAGCGAGUCUGAAUAGGGCGUUUAGUACGUGGUCGUAGACCCGAAACCAGGUGAUCUACCCAUGUCCAGGGUGAAGUUCAGGUAACACUGAAUGGAGGCCCGAACCCACGCACGUUGAAAAGUGCGGGGAUGAGGUGUGGGUAGCGGAGAAAUUCCAAUCGAACCUGGAGAUAGCUGGUUCUCCCCGAAAUAGCUUUAGGGCUAGCCUUAAGUGUAAGAGUCUUGGAGGUAGAGCACUGAUUGGACUAGGGGUCCUCAUCGGAUUACCGAAUUCAGUCAAACUCCGAAUGCCAAUGACUUAUCCUUAGGAGUCAGACUGCGAGUGAUAAGAUCCGUAGUCAAAAGGGAAACAGCCCAGACCGCCAGCUAAGGUCCCAAAGUGUGUAUUAAGUGGAAAAGGAUGUGGAGUUGCUUAGACAACUAGGAUGUUGGCUUAGAAGCAGCCACCAUUUAAAGAGUGCGUAAUAGCUCACUAGUCGAGUGACUCUGCGCCGAAAAUGUACCGGGGCUAAAUACACCACCGAAGCUGCGGAUUGAUACCAAUGGUAUCAGUGGUAGGGGAGCGUUCUAAGGACAGUGAAGUCAGACCGGAAGGACUGGUGGAGUGCUUAGAAGUGAGAAUGCCGGUAUGAGUAGCGAAAGACGGGUGAGAAUCCCGUCCACCGAAUGCCUAAGGUUUCCUGAGGAAGGCUCGUCCGCUCAGGGUUAGUCAGGACCUAAGCCGAGGCCGACAGGCGUAGGCGAUGGACAACAGGUUGAUAUUCCUGUACCACCUCUUUAUCGUUUGAGCAAUGGAGGGACGCAGAAGGAUAGAAGAAGCGUGCGAUUGGUUGUGCACGUCCAAGCAGUUAGGCUGAUAAGUAGGCAAAUCCGCUUAUCGUGAAGGCUGAGCUGUGAUGGGGAAGCUCCUUAUGGAGCGAAGUCUUUGAUUCCCCGCUGCCAAGAAAAGCUUCUAGCGAGAUAAAAGGUGCCUGUACCGCAAACCGACACAGGUAGGCGAGGAGAGAAUCCUAAGGUGUGCGAGAGAACUCUGGUUAAGGAACUCGGCAAAAUGACCCCGUAACUUCGGGAGAAGGGGUGCUUUCUUAACGGAAAGCCGCAGUGAAUAGGCCCAAGCGACUGUUUAGCAAAAACACAGCUCUCUGCGAAGCCGUAAGGCGAAGUAUAGGGGGUGACACCUGCCCGGUGCUGGAAGGUUAAGGAGAGGGGUUAGCGUAAGCGAAGCUCUGAACUGAAGCCCCAGUAAACGGCGGCCGUAACUAUAACGGUCCUAAGGUAGCGAAAUUCCUUGUCGGGUAAGUUCCGACCCGCACGAAAGGUGUAACGAUUUGGGCACUGUCUCAACCAGAGACUCGGUGAAAUUAUAGUACCUGUGAAGAUGCAGGUUACCCGCGACAGGACGGAAAGACCCCGUGGAGCUUUACUGUAGCCUGAUAUUGAAUUUUGGUACAGUUUGUACAGGAUAGGCGGGAGCCUUUGAAACCGGAGCGCUAGCUUCGGUGGAGGCGCUGGUGGGAUACCGCCCUGACUGUAUUGAAAUUCUAACCUACGGGUCUUAUCGACCCGGGAGACAGUGUCAGGUGGGCAGUUUGACUGGGGCGGUCGCCUCCUAAAGUGUAACGGAGGCGCCCAAAGGUUCCCUCAGAAUGGUUGGAAAUCAUUCGUAGAGUGCAAAGGCAUAAGGGAGCUUGACUGCGAGACCUACAAGUCGAGCAGGGACGAAAGUCGGGCUUAGUGAUCCGGUGGUUCCGCAUGGAAGGGCCAUCGCUCAACGGAUAAAAGCUACCCCGGGGAUAACAGGCUUAUCUCCCCCAAGAGUCCACAUCGACGGGGAGGUUUGGCACCUCGAUGUCGGCUCAUCGCAUCCUGGGGCUGUAGUCGGUCCCAAGGGUUGGGCUGUUCGCCCAUUAAAGCGGUACGCGAGCUGGGUUCAGAACGUCGUGAGACAGUUCGGUCCCUAUCCGUCGUGGGCGUAGGAAAUUUGAGAGGAGCUGUCCUUAGUACGAGAGGACCGGGAUGGACGCACCGCUGGUGUACCAGUUGUUCUGCCAAGGGCAUAGCUGGGUAGCUAUGUGCGGAAGGGAUAAGUGCUGAAAGCAUCUAAGCAUGAAGCCCCCCUCAAGAUGAGAUUUCCCAUAGCGUAAGCUAGUAAGAUCCCUGAAAGAUGAUCAGGUUGAUAGGUUCGAGGUGGAAGCAUGGUGACAUGUGGAGCUGACGAAUACUAAUAGAUCGAGGACUUAACCAU
rnacentral:rRNA from 7 species